rnacentral:lncRNA from 1 species
GGAAAUAGGGUUAAAACCCCUCCCCAGCCUUCGAAAAUCACAAAAAGUUGGUCCCGUUCGCAAAACUCUUGUAGUUUUUAUGCCGCCAUCUUGUUUUUCACUAAAUAUAAUAAAAACGACGUCGACGUAUAUGAUACGCCAAGUAGCCCAAACAAUCAGAUUACAGAAUAGCUCAUAUACGGUGGGUGAGUCGGAUGACUAUAUUUAAAGAUUUGUAAUCCAGGCAUAUUAUAAUUUGUGAGUUUGUGAAAGUUCUCCGGAUCGAUAAUAAGUUUAAUUUAUUGAGCUUUCUAGUCGGUAAUUCAAGUCUUCUUCAGAAUUAUGUUACAAUCAAUGAGUUUGAAAUUCUGUUUGCGUUCUUUUAUAAAUCGG